rnacentral:lncRNA from 1 species
UUACUUUAGAAGUGCAACUGGUAGAAUAAAGAGCCUGAGAACCGGAACUGCUGCCAGAAAUAGCAGGGCAAAUUCACCCACUUCCAAGAAGGUCACUCAGUCUCAGAACAGGGUACAGGCAGAUCGAAGCAAAUUCUUGGCACCGCCUCUGCCAUAUCUGCCUGUUGCAUAAUUUAACAGCUGCCUGUUGAGAAUCCUAUUUUUAACAAACAAUUAUAACCUAAGAGCUGUCAUCUGUCAGGUUUUAAAUGUUUGUUAAAAAUAGGAGUCCCAGACAUGUAGCCAUUAGG